GGGGCCCAGCGUUGCUCGGAAUUACUGGGCGUAAAGGGUUCGUAGGCGGUGCGGCAAGUUGGGAGUGAAAUCUCCAGGCUUAACUUGGAGGCUGCUUCCAAAACUGCCGUGCUCGAGUGCGGGAGAGGCCAGUGGAAUUGCAGGUGUAGCGGUGAAAUGCGUAGAUAUCUGCAGGAACACCCGUGGCGAAGGCGGCUGGCUGGACCGCAACUGACGCUGAGGAACGAAAGCUAGGGGAGCAAACAGGAUUAGAUACCCUGGUAGUCCUAGCCCUAAACCAUCAGGACUUGGGGUGGCCCGCGUAGGCGGGUCGUCCCGUAGCUAACGCGUUAAGUCCUGCGCCUGGGGAGUACGGUCGCAAGACUGAAACUCAAAGGAAUUGACGGGGGCCCGCACAAGCGGUGGAACAUGUGGUUCAAUUCGACGCAACGCGAAGAACCUUACCUGGGUUCGAAGUGCCGGCGACCAUCUUGAGAAAUCUAGACUUCCCGCAAGGGACGCCGGUAGAGGUGCUGCAUGGCUGUCGUCAGCUCGUGCCGUGAGGUGUUGGGUUAAGUCCCGCAACGAGCGCAACCCUUACGCGUAGUUGCCACCCCGCAAGGGGGGAACUCUACGUGGACUGCUCCGGAUAACGGAGAGGAAGGUGGGGAUGACGUCAAGUCGGCACGGCCUUUAUGUCCAGGGCUACACACGUGUUACAAUGCGCGGUACAGAACGCUGCAAACCCGCGAGGGGGAGCUAAUCGGAAAAAACCGCGCUCAGUUCGGAUUGCAGUCUGCAACUCGACUGCAUGAAGCUGGAAUCGCUAGUAAUGGCGCAUCAGAUCGGCGCCGUGAAUACGUUCCCGGGCCUUGUACACACCGCCCGUCACAUCACGAAAGUGAGCUGUACUAGAAGUCGCCGUGCUAACCGCAAGGAGGCAGGCGCCCAAGGUAUGGCCCAUGAUUGGGGUGA
rnacentral:rRNA from 1 species